rnacentral:rRNA from 1 species
CUUGGUCAUUUAGAGGAAGUAAAAGUCGUAACAAGGUUUCCGUAGGUGAACCUGCGGAAGGAUCAUUAUUGAAAAUCUGUAGUUGAGCUGGCUUCUAACGAGGCAUGUGCUUGCUACUAACCUUCAUCCACCUGUGCACAUUUUGUAGGAAAGACAGGAUUCUUUUCAAAGUAAGAGGAACUUAUGGCUCACGCCAUUAUUCUUUUUGAAACGAAAGGUCUUCUUCUAUCCUAUGUUUUUACACACACAAAUUGAAUGUUUAGAAUGUCUACUUUCGAAAGAGCGUAAAAACUCUUUUAAAAAACAUAAUACAACUUUCAGCAACGGAUCUCUUGGCUCUCGCAUCGAUGAAGAACGCAGCGAAAUGCGAUAAGUAAUGUGAAUUGCAGAAUUCAGUGAAUCAUCGAAUCUUUGAACGCACCUUGCGCCUCUUGGUAUUCCGAGAGGCAUGCCUGUUUGAGUGUCAUUAAAUUCUCAACUUCUAUAGUUUUAUUACUAUCGAAGCUUGGAUGUGGAGGUUUUUUGCUGGCUUUUAUUAGUCGGCUCCUCUUAAAUGUAUUAGUGGAGACUGUUUGUGGUCCACAAUUAGUGUGAUAAUUAUCUACGCUACUUAUGGUUCUGCACACUUUGUAGUGUUUCGAUUGGGAAGUUGCAUAAAUUUUUAUGCUCUUUCUGCUUCAAAUGAAACCUACUUAUGAGUGAAGUCGUUCUGCUUCUAACCGUCUUCUUUGCAAGACAAUUUCUUGACUUUUUGACCUCAAAUCAGGUAGGACUACCCGCUGAACUUAAGCAUAUCAAUAAGCGGAGGAAAAGAAACUAACAAGGAUUCCCCUAGUAACUGCGAGUGAAGAGGGAAAAGCUCAAAUUUAAAAUCUGGCAGCCUCAGGUUGUCCGAGUUGUAAUUUAGAGAAGUGUUACCCGUGCUGGACCGUGUACAAGUCUCCUGGAAUGGAGCGUCAUAGAGGGUGAGAAUCCCGUCUUUGACACGGACUACCAGUGCAUUGUGGUGCGCUCUCGAAGAGUCGCGUUGUUUGGGAAUGCAGCGCAAAAUGGGUGGUAAAUUCCAUCUAAAGCUAAAUAUUGGCGAGAGACCGAUAGCGAACAAGUACCGUGAGGGAAAGAUGAAAAGAACUUUGGAAAGAGAGUUAAACAGUACGUGAAAUUGCUGAAAGGGAAACGCUUGAAGU